rnacentral:rRNA from 1 species
GACAGAGGUGCCGAGCGUUAGGCGGAAUCACUGGGCUUAAAGGGUGCGUAGGCGGUGCUACAAGUCGGGUGUGAAAUCCCUCAGCUUAACUGAGGAACUGCGCCCGAAACUGUAGUGCUGGAGUGAGGCAGGGGUGAGCGGAACUGAUAGUGGAGCGGUGAAAUGUGUUGAUAUCAUCAGGAACACCGGUGGCGAAGGCGGCUCACUGGGCCUUUACUGACGCUGAGGCACGAAAGCUAGGGGAGCGAACGGG